UGGGGAACAUACAAGUCCAGAUUUUUUCAGUCUGGGACAUGAACAGAGUAGCUUUGCAUCAUUUUCAUCUUAAAAAAACGCCUUAUUUAAUCUUAUACCAGCGUCACACUUAAUUUUCGCACAGCCUUGUAUCCACAAAACGACUUGACAGAAAAUGUCUGAGGUUAGCUGUCUGCUCCCAUGUUGGCAAUAUCUUAGCUGCUGUUAUAACAUUAUAAGCCUUUAUUGAAGAUUUUUAUAGAUGGAGUAGCCACAAGUUUCUGUAACGAUCCUGGAGAGGCAAAUCAUACUGGCCUUUGUUGACAGAGGACUCAUCAGUGAAUUGGCGAGCAUAAAAGGCUCAGUUUCCCAGAUAUCUAAUCACCACUGUUUUCUGGUGAGUUUGUCUUUGGAGGAGAUAACAGCUGUGACAUUUGCCAGAAACUGUCUGAAACAUCCAAACUCAACAAAGUGCAGAGGAGUUUCGCACAUAAAUGAAUCAGGACAGCAUGAUCUGAUGCUAGAUUAGCCACGCCUCAAAACAAGUUGUCAGAGAUACAAGAAAACAGAUAAGGGGAUUUUACCACCAUCUGUUUACAAUAAGACUUUGCACUUGUCAAAGAGUUAACUGGUGUGUCUUUACUGGAAUGACAAAUAAUGAAAUGGUCAUUUGUUUUGGACCCUGGACCAAUCUGGAAAGUCUGUUAAGUCCACAACAGACCUUUCUCAUUGCUACUAAUGAGUUAAUUUUGCUCUUUUGAGGAGAUUCAUAAAGUGAUAACGUCAUGAUACGUGUCAGCCUCAGAUUAUUCUUGAGUGACCUUUUUAACAAGCUGUUCAAAUUGGCUGACAGUCUCAUCCAACACACAUUUACCUCACAACCUGUGAGUGUAUACAAGCUUUGCCUCUAUACUUCCAGUAUUGACACCCAACAUUUCAACUUGAUAUUGGUUUUUAAAACAUCAAAAAGCAUCUCAUGUGAGCAAAAUAGUGCCUCACUUUUCAUUUUUGAAUUUGUCCUGUGAAGGUCAUAUAUUAAACUAGAAAAGCACUCGGAGAGCGCAGACCUCCGCCAAGCAGCUCAUGUCCCCCCUUAUAUUGUGAUUCACACCAAAACUUUUACUGUUACGUGUCUUUUAUUAACUUUUAUUUGUGUUUAAACUGGUAUGUUCACUGUUCAUAAUGUUCCUAAAACAAGAAAUGCCCUGACCGGAAUUCAAACCCAGGACCUUCUUGCUGUGAGGCGACAGUGCUAACCACUACACCACUGUGCCGCCUAUCUACACCACUGUGCCGCCCAUUGAUUUUCUUUCAGCAUUGAAAAUUCCAACGACACCCUUAUUUUUGUGUGUUCUGGAUCACGGUAUCCGGAAUUUUGUCUGGAUCAGGAUCAACCUUUGACACCUCAUAAAACUAACUGAGAUCCUUUUAUGUAAUUUUGUACGAAAGGUUCUGGGCAUUUUUAUAGAGUUAAAUGCAAAAAUUCCAAAAUUGGCCCUAUCUCACAAUGAUAAAGAAUCCUUCAAAAAAUUCCUGGCUCCAGAAGGCAAUCUGGAUCACCACCAAAAUGUAAUGGGAUCCUCCUGGGGCUGAGACGCACCUCUGGUGAAAAUUUCAGGUCAAUCUGUCUGUAACUUUCUCCAUAAAGUUGCUAACAAACAAACAAACCAACGCUACCGAAAACAUAACCUCCUUGGCGGAGGUAACAAAAUGAUAUCCCCUCAUUAAACCCUCUGAGUCAUUUAAAACCUCAAAAAUAAAUAUAAACAAAGGCUGUUUUUGAAGCACACACUGACACCUACAAACCAGCGUUUUCUGACUCUCAGAAGAGUUACAGUUAUAGUCCGUCUUCAUACCGGCCACUUUAUUAGGUACACCAUGCUAGUAACGGGUUGGACCCCCUUUUGCCUUCAGAACUGCCUCAAUUCUUCGUGGCAUAGAUUCAACAAGGUGCUGGAAGCAUUCCUCAGAGAGCUUGGUCCAUAUUGACAUGAUGGCAUCACACAGUUGCUGCAGAUUUGUCGGCUGCACAUCCAUGAUGCGAAUCUCCCGUUCCACCACAUCCCAAAGAUGCUCUAUUGGAUUGAGAUCUGGUGACUGUGGAGGCCAUUUGAGUACAGUGAACUCAUUGUCAUGUUCAAGAAACCAGUCUGAGAUGAUUCCAGCUUUAUGACAUGGCGCAUUAUCCUGCUGAAAGUAGCCAUCAGAAGUUGGGUACAUUGUGGUCAUAAAGGGAUGGACAUGGUCAGCAACAAUACUCAGGUAGGCUGUGGCGUUGCAACUAUGCUCAAUUAGUACCAAGGGGCCCAAAGAGUGCCAAGAAAAUAUUCCCCACACCAUGACACCACCACCACCAGCCUGAACCGUUGAUACAAGGCAGGAUGGAUCCAUGCUUUCAUGUUGUUGACGCCAAAUUCUGACCCUACCAUCCGAAUGUCGCAGCAGAAAUCGAGACUCAUCAGACCAGGCAACGUUUUUCCAAUCUUCUAUUGUCCCAUUUCGAUGAGCUUGUGCAAAUUGUAGCCUCAGUUUCCUGUUCUUAGCUGAAAGGAGUGGCACCCGGCGUGGUCUUCUGCUGCUGUAGCCCAUCUGCCUCAAAGUUCGACGUACUGUGCGUUCAGAGAUGCUCUUCUGCCUACCUUGGUUGUAACGGGUGGUUAUUUGAGUCACUGUUGCCUUUCUAUCAGCUCGAACCAGUCUGGCCAUUCUCCUCUGACCUCUGGCAUCAACAAGGCAUUUCCGCCCACAGAACUGCCGCUCACUGGAUAUUUUUUCUUUUUCGGACCAUUCUCUGUAAACCCUAGAGAUGGUUGUGCGUGAAAAUCCCAGUAGAUCAGCAGUUUCUGAAAUACUCAGACCAGCCCUUCUGGCACCAACAACCAUGCCACGUUCAAAGUCACUCAAAUCACCUUUCUUCCCCAUACUGAUGCUCGGUUUGAACUGCAGGAGAUUGUCUUGACCAUGUCUACAUGCCUAAAUGCACUAAGUUGCCGCCAUGUGAUUGGCUGAUUAGAAAUUAAGUGUUAACGAGCAGUUGGACAGGUAUACCUAAUAAAGUGGCCGGUGAGUGUAGUCCGUCUUCAUAUUCUGGUUUGAUGUUGUAGCUCAUACAGAAACAUCAGGAAUUGUUACAGUCAUCUUUUGAACAGCAAAGAAACCCACCAUUAUCCUCCCCUGUUGUUAGAACUUUUCUUUGCACUUUUUCUGUUGUUGUAAAGCAGAAAAUAUCAGCGGAUUUUGUCCUGUUUUCACCAAAUUGAAGUGAGGCAUUUCUUGCAAUUUUCUUGUAUUUUUAACAAGCCUGCGUAACAGUAAACCGCAGCUUUUUGUUUUCUCGGUAAUGAUCUUCAACAGUCUCUGCAGGUGUAUCUAACAAGGCAUGGUUGGAAAACAGCACAGGGAUGCAGAGCUCAUAAAAGUUUAAUAUUUCCUGCCGUAUAAAUAAAUGCUCCAUUUCACAUUAAAAGACUGUUAACCUUGCCUUGCCAAAUCUUAUAUCAAGCACAUCAUUGCCUCCAUGUUUAAUUUCUCCUGUGUUUCAAGGCGGACUUCAUAAAACCUUCACCUCCACACAGGCUGCAGCAUUCAGCUGAGAAGAAGGAAAUACAACAGGUCGGUAUACCCGCAGGAACUUGAGGUUAUUUUGAAGGAAUAAGUGGACUCCUUCAUAGACUUCCAAUUUAAAGCCAUGAAAUUAAAAUAAAAAACAUUUAAAAAACAGAUUUAGCAGGAGCUUCAUUUACAUUGGAGACGUAUGGCAGAUGUUCUUAGACCACUGUGGAAGUCUAGCAGUUCAAAAGUAUGUUGAGUGACAGCUGAGAGUGUGAAAUAUCCACUGUGACUGUCUACAGAAGAGGAGCUCUACAAACGCUCCACACGCUACACUCUGGAUCGACUGACUCUAAAUUAACCAUUUAACCACCUCUGUCUCAAAAAUAAAAAAAAAAUCCAGACAGAAAAACAAAACAAAUCAUCAGGUUAUAAGCCAUAUUAACAAACAUCAGCUCUUGACGAUUACAUUAGUAAGACUCCAAGCAUUUAGAAUAUGGUUUUCACAAUUUAAAAUCCUGUUAAAUCUUAUUCUUUUCAUUCCUUUUCCUAAGGAUUUCAUCAUUAACUUCUGCUCUGUUAGUCUGAAAGCAGAUGUCUGUUGCUGUGAUUGGCAGGCUGAGCUGCAGCACAGGGAAUACAGAGGCAAACACUUGCACUUGAAACUAGCUUAAAGUUAAAGGCAGUUGGUGUUGGGCUUACUGAAAUCCUCAGGGCUGAGGUCCAG